rnacentral:rRNA from 1 species
UUUUUAUUAAAGAAUUUCGGUUAUCGAUGGGCAUGCGUUCCAUUAGUUUGUUGGCGGGGUAACGGCCCACCAAGACUACGAUGGAUAGGGGUUCUGAGAGGAAGGUCCCCCACAUUGGAACUGAGACACGGUCCAAACUCCUACGGGAGGCAGCAGUGAGGAAUAUUGGUCAAUGGGCGAGAGCCUGAACCAGCCAAGUAGCGUGAAGGAUGAAGGCUCUAUGGGUCGUAAACUUCUUUUAUAUGGGAAUAAAGUAUUCCACGUGUGGAAUUUUGUAUGUACCAUAUGAAUAAGGAUCGGCUAACUCCGUGCCAGCAGCCGCGGUAAUACGGAGGAUCCGAGCGUUAUCCGGAUUUAUUGGGUUUAAAGGGAGCGUAGGUGGAUUGUUAAGUCAGUUGUGAAAGUUUGCGGCUCAACCGUAAAAUUGCAGUUGAAACUGGGAGUCUUGAGUACAGUAGAGGUGGGCGGAAUUCGUGGUGUAGCGGUGAAAUGCUUAGAUAUCACGAAGAACUCCGAUUGCGAAGGCAGCUCACUAGACUGUUACUGACACUGAUGCUCGAAAGUGUGGGUAUCAAACAGGAUUAGAUACCCUGGUAGUCCACACAGUAAACGAUGAAGACUCGCUGUUUGCGAUAUACAGUAAGCGGCCA